rnacentral:rRNA from 1 species
UCUGACACAGGUGCUGCAUGGCUGUCGUCAGCUCGUGUCGUGAGAUGUUGGGUUAAGUCCGUAACGAGCGCAACCCUUGUCCUUAGUUACCAGCACGUUAUGGUGGGCGACUCUAAGGAGGACUGCCGGGUGACAAACCGGAGGAAGGUGGGGGAUGACGUCAAGUCAUCAUGGCCCUUACGGCCUGGGCUACACACGUGCUACAAUGGUCGGUACAAAGGGUUGCCAAGCCGCGAGGUGGAGCUAAUCCCAUAAAACCGAUCGUAGUCCGGAUCGCAGUCUGCAACUCGACUGCGUGAAGUCGGAAUCGCUAGUAAUCGUGAAUCAGAAUGUCACGGUGAAUACGUUCCCGGGCCUU